AAUACCGCAUAACAUAUGAGAGGGGCAUCCCUUUUAUAUCAAAGAUUUAUUGCUCUGAGAUGGCCUCGCGUCCAAUUAGCUAGUUGGUGAGGUAACGGCCCACCAAGGCGACGAUUGGUAGCCGGACUGAGAGGUUGAACGGCCACAUUGGGACUGAGAUACGGCCCAGACUCCUACGGGAGGCAGCAGUGGGGAAUAUUGCACAAUGGGGGGAACCCUGAUGCAGCAAUGCCGCGUGAAGGAUGAAGGUUUUCGGAUUGUAAACUUCUUUUGUACGGGACGAAGAAAGUGACGGUACCGUAAGAAUAAGCCACGGCUAACUACGUGCCAGCAGCCGCGGUAAUACGUAGGUGGCAAGCGUUAUCCGGAUUUACUGGGUGUAAAGGGCGAGUAGGCGGGAUUGCAAGUCAGAUGUGAAAACUAUGGGCUCAACCGAUAGAGUGCAUUUGAAACUGCAGUUCUUGAGUGAUGGAGAGGCAGGCGGAAUUCCCGGUGUAGCGGUGGAAUGCGUAGAUAUCGGGAGGAACACCAGUGGCGAAGGCGGCCUGCUGGACAUUAACUGACGCUGAGGCGCGAAAGCGUGGGGAGCAAACAGGAUUAGAUACCCUGGUAGUCCACGCUGUAAACGAUGAUUACUAGGUGUGGGGGGUACUGACCCCUUCCGUGCCGGAGU
rnacentral:rRNA from 1 species